UUUGCUCCUGCGCCGCCAACCGCUGUCUGCUUAAGGACGCCGUGGAGCUCCGGAUGCUAAACUGUGCUUUGGGGAUGAAUUCGAGAUGUUCGGGGCUGUCCCCGUGAUGGACGGGCAGCGCCGUGCGGAAGGCUGCUCUCAGAAGAGAAGAACUGCAUGCCCCAGAGGACUUUGUGUUCAAAGGAGAAGAUCAGACCCACAAGUCAUGGGACUCACUCCCUCUGUUGCUGCCCUGCAGUGUGUGGUUGUGCUCCCCAGCCAUUUCACCUUCAGUUCAGACUCCGUGGUCUCCAUGCAGGUGCCCACCAUGGCAGUCAGAAGCAGCUGGGAUGUCACAGAGGGCAGGGGCAUGCCAAGCAGCUGGGGGCACGGAGGGCGAUUUCGUACUCUUCAGUCUGCCUUCUCCGGAAAACUGACUCUCCAGAUGUCAUCCAACGCUGCAGGAGAAAAGCAACAAUGGCACACAGAGCAGUGUUCUCUGCAUCUUGGCAUUGGUCUGUGAUACCUGGAUAGGCGCGUCACGUUGGACCUGAGAGGAGAGGAAGGUCGGCCAAAUUUCAGUCUCAGGUCUCCCUUU
rnacentral:lncRNA from 1 species